UGGGGAAUAUUGCACAAUGGGGAAAGACCCUGAUGCAGCGAUGCCGCGUGAGUGAAGAAGUAUCUCGGUAUGUAAAGCUCUAUCAGCAGGGAAGAAAAUGACGGUACCUGACUAAGAAGCCCCGGCUAACUACGUGCCAGCAGCCGCGGUAAUACGUAGGGGGCAAGCGUUAUCCGGAUUUACUGGGUGUAAAGGGAGCGUAGACGGAGCAGCAAGUCUGAUGUGAAAGGCGGGGGCUCAACCCCUGGACUGCAUUGGAAACUGUUGAUCUUGAGUACCGGAGAGGUAAGCGGAAUUCCUAGUGUAGCGGUGAAAUGCGUAGAUAUUAGGAGGAACACCAGUGGCGAAGGCGGCUUACUGGACGGUAACUGACGUUGAGGCUCGAAAGCGUGGGGAGCAAACAGGAUUAGAUACCC
rnacentral:rRNA from 1 species